UACGUACUGUGCGAACGUUAUUCGGAAUCACUGGCUUAAAGGGUGUGUAGGCGGUUGAUUAAGUAGGGUGUGAAAGCCUUGGCCUAACCAAGGCAUUGCGCUCUAAACUGGUCGACUUGAGUAAGAUAGGGGUGUGCGGAACUUCCAGUGGAGCGGUGAAAUGUGUUGAUAUUGGAAGGAACGCCGGUGGCGAAAGCGGCACACUGGGUCUUAACUGACGCUGAGACACGAAAGCCAGGGGAGCGAACGGG
rnacentral:rRNA from 1 species